rnacentral:rRNA from 1 species
AACAAACGCUGGCGGCGUGCCUAACACAUGCAAGUCGUACGAGAAAGGGUCCUUCGGGGCCUGAGUAAAGUGGCGCACGGGUGAGUAACGCGUGGAUAAUCUACCCUUCAGUUGGGAACAACUCAUCGAAAGGUGGGCUAAUACCGAAUAACACUGCGAGACUUUGGUCGAGCAGUCAAAGAGAGCCUCUGCUUGCAUGCCCUCGCUGAAGGACGAGUCCGCGUACCAUUAGCUAGUUGGUAGGGUAAUGGCCUACCAAGGCGACGAUGGUUAGCUGGUCUGAGAGGAUGAUCAGCCACACUGGAACUGAGACACGGUCCAGACUCCUACGGGUGGCAG